rnacentral:lncRNA from 1 species
AUGGGUCUUCAUUUCUAUAGACACUGCUGUUCUUAAUCAAACUGUGAUUUGUGCUUUUCAGAUGCAAGAAAAUCAAUUGUAGAUAAAUAUUUGGUGCAAGAUUUUUAUUUGUUUGCAGGAAAGUCAGGUUCAAUGAAGACUAGUUUAAAAGUUCCCUGCCCUUGAUCCUCAGUUUCCCUUUUUCUUCAGUUUGUUCUUAAUCAUCAAUAGUACUAAAAGCAUGUUACAAAACAGAUACAAAACCUCUUUGAGUUACAAGAUCUUUCUACCUGUUUGCCCUUAUUCUUACCCAUUCUUUUAUUUAUUUAUUUACUUAUUUUUGUGCAAGAUACUUUAUAUCCCAGCAGGAUCUUAUUGAUGUCCCUGCUUUCAGCACAGCCAAACAAACCAAAUCAGCAUGAUUUCAGCAAUGGCAAAAUUCAUUGCAGAUGUGGGGAUGAAUGUCCGCAGCGGGAGUGCAUGGAAAGAGGGAUUUUAAAACCAAUCUUAUUCCCAAGAUAUCUACAGAGAAUUCCAACACUUCAGUGACUUAUUCUGGCAAUAAACAGGUGUUAGCAAUGAUGGCAACAGGUCAGGUCUGCUCCAGCUGUGAGUAACUGAGUGACACUGGGACUGAUGUUACCAGACUGAGCAACCAUGACACUGUACCCAGUUAAGUCCCUGCCACAAUUAUUCAUCACGCUUCUUCUACCACAUUCUCAUCCUGACUGCCUAACUUUGAGGAAGAAUAUGUUGAGUAUAGCAAAGGCAGGUACCAAGAAAACCCAAGGU